UACAGAGGUCCCAAGCGUUGUUCGGAUUCAUUGGGCGUAAAGGGUUCGUAGGCGGUGCGGCAAGUCGGGAGUGAAAUCUCUGGGCUUAACCCAGAGGCUGCUUCCGAAACUGCUGUGCUUGAGUGUGGGAGAGGCGCGUGGAAUUGCAGGUGUAGCGGUGAAAUGCGUAGAUAUCUGCAGGAACACCCGUGGCGAAAGCGGCGCGCUGGACCACUACUGACGCUGAGCUGCGAAAGCUAGGGGAGCAAACAGG
rnacentral:rRNA from 1 species